ACUGCCUAACAGGCAUAGCAGAAUUGUUCACAGUGCAGCCCCUGUCAGAUUCCAAUGAAUCUGGGAAUUCUGCU
rnacentral:ribozyme from 1 species